CAGCAGUGGGGAAUAUUGCACAAUGGGGGAAACCCUGAUGCAGCCAUGCCGCGUGUGUGAAGAAGGACCUUCGGGUUGUAAAGCACUUUCAGUAGGGAGGAAGGUAGUGUAGUUAACACCUGCAUUAUUUGACGUUACCUACAGAAGAAGCACCGGCUAACUCCGUGCCAGCAGCCGCGGUAAUACGGAGGGUGCGAGCGUUAAUCGGAAUUACUGGGCGUAAAGCGCAUGCAGGCGGCCUGUUAAGUCAGAUGUGAAAGCCCGGGGCUUAACCUCGGAAUUGCAUUUGAAACUGGCAGGCUAGAGUCUUGUAGAGGGGGGUAGGAAUUUCAGGUGUAGCGGUGAAAUGCGUAGAGAUCUGAAGGAAUACCAGUGGCGAAGGCGGCCCCCUGGACAAAGACUGACGCUCAGAUGCGAAAGCGUGGGGAGCAAACAGGAUUAGAUACCCUGGUAG
rnacentral:rRNA from 1 species